UGGUUGGACAGAGUUGGAAAUGACUAAACAACAACAAAAACAAUAGACAGACUGACUGGAAGGAAGGCAAGGCCAAAUCAGUGAAGCAAAGACAAAGCAGGCAGCCUCUUGUUGAUCCUAACCCUGAGGGCAGGGUCCACUCACCACAGACCAGUAACACUUAAUGCACUUGAAGUGAAAAAUGAAUGUGACCAAGUUUUCCAUUAGAAGCUGAAGUUUUAUUACAGGAGAACAGUACAUAAAGCACAUCUAAAAUUGAUGUGUUCAAUGCACUUAAUAAAGGUUUUGUCCCUGCUCUGAUGCUGGCAUCUACAUACUUUCAGCUACAGCUUGAGUUCUUCGGCAUGUCCUCUCUUAAAAAGGCAUCAGCAACAGUUCCCACCAUUUCACCUUUUUUCAAAGCAUAAUUUGCUGUUAACUGAGAUGAAGAAAACAUGGGCUAGUUUAUGCACCAAUUAAUGGAUUUUGGAAAAAGCUAUAAGUGAUAACGGUGUGUCUAAUGUGUAGACCUAAAGUGCUUGGCUUUCAAGACAGGAGUGAACCUGGUGUCUGCUUUUAGGGAUAGGAUUGGGAAUGAUAUGGCAUUGCCUACAAGUAAGGACCAAUUCAAUAUCUGAAUAUAUUUUGUGUGAGCAGAUGAAUGUAAAAUAUUUACUAACAAUAACAGGCCGUGACUGAGAGUCAAUAUGAAAUACCAAAAUAUAACUAACCCUGUUACUGCCAGAAGUGAAUACUGUUCAUUUUUCAUUUGAAUCAACUUUAUACAUUUUGUCUCUAGUAAAUGGCAGGCCUUAAACAGGCGCUGGCUGGUAGAUACUGGAGUUUUAAUUUAGCUGAACUUUAAAACUAAAUUAGCAUUUGAGGGAGGUCACAUUAAAAAACCCCUCAUUUGCUAAACAGCCUGGAUUUAAGCUUGGACUGCAUCUAUAAAAAGACCAGAAUUAACAAUUACCACCAGUUACUCCAAUAAAAUAAACAAAACUUAUGAGGAUGGCUAAAUUCUGUCCAUGUAGCUAGCAGGAUUUUCAUUCUUUAGAAACAGCUCCCCUGUACUGGGGCAGAGGAAAACUGAAUAUUGGGAUGCUUUCAAAAUUCCAUUCACUGGAUGCAAUUAAAGUUUAUUGUGAUCAGGGGUUUCUCAGGCUUUUCUGGGAAUCUAUUUGCUAUCUUGGCAUGCAUUAGAGGGUUGCUUAUAGAAAGGAAUGGGUGAUCUUCUAUAUGUGCAGAGCGCCAAGAACAUAUCUGAGCCAGUCAUAGCUAUUCCUGUGUUUGUUGAAACUGUAUCGUAGAUACCUUCUUACAAAGUACAGUGGUACCUCGGUUUACGAUCCAUUCCGGAAGCCGUUCUUAAACCAAGGCGCGCUUUCCCUAAUGAGGCCUCCUGUCGCUGGUGCCCUUCCACUGUUCGAAUUCCGUUCGUAGACUGAGGUAAAGAUCUCAAACCAAGACACUAUUCCGGUUUUGUGGAGUUUGUAAACCAAAUCGUUCUUAAACCGGACUGUUCUUAACCCGAGGUACCACUGUACGUGUGGUCACUAGAAAGGGUAAAUGGCAAGAGGACUACAUUUGAAUUUCCCAUUUCUACAUUCCCAACCUAAGUGGCUCAGGAGUAUAGAGAUCUGCUGCUCUGCUCACAGAUGGGAGGUACAUACAUGAAGGCAGCCAUGUGUGUAACUUCUUACAUAGAACUGCUGGUAUAUAUUACUAACAUGUUUGCAUGAGUAGCUCCUGUCUGCAAGCCCAACAUGGUCCUAAAAUGUUUGCAUGUUCACUUUUGUUUGCACAUUAGAUCCUUUCAGAACUAAUUAGGCCUUGAUUUCCCUAUAUGCUAACAAGCUGCCAGCUGCCCUGGGAGUGAUAGAGAUGAAAGAUUCUGCAGUUAUAAGUUUGUUUCCUGUCUGACUGAACUGGCUUUACAGUUCUAAUGCCUAUAGAAAAUUUAAUCUUACAGUUUGCACUGGGCAUGUAGAAACCCUCAAAGAUGAGAAUUUUCAGCUCUUUAUACUACAUUGAAUGAAGACUUUGGGGCUCAAAACAAACAGGUCCAACUGCAUAGCCCCUCAUGCACCUUCCUUAAUAGGAAUUUUGUAUUACCUUUUACAUGUGAAUUACUAUUAUAUGUAUGCUAGAAUGCAUGUAUACUCCAACAAGUAAGUAAAAUUUUUCAUACCUUGCAAGAGGUCAUUUUGAAAUAAAAAAAUUACUUAAAUAAUCAUAAUAUCCAAUAUACGACAAAAAAAAUUUUUUUUUGAGAUUUUCUUUAGGAGCCUGAAAAAUCCAUGUCUAGACAGCUGGAUGGUUGGUCUUUUGAUGAAAACUUUCAGGCACUGAGACAAGAAGAUUACAUCAGUCUGUAUGCUUUAAAUUUAAAUCAUCAGGAUGCUAAAAAUUGGUAUAUUAUAAAAUUUAUUUUACAAAGAGUCAUUUGAAUAAGUUAGGUGUAGUUUGAAGAACUCCCUUGCUUUACAAGUUAUCCUGAGAAGAAUCUUUUACUCUUUGAUACAUUUUCUCAAUCAAGGGUGUUGGUGCAAUCAGGGUUAGAAGUGUACUUUGGAAUAACUGAGUUCUUGACUUGUCAACAGAUAAAAAACAGCACAGUUGCCACCUCUAGCUGAGUAGGAUUUAGGAUUUGUCACAAAAACACAAUGACCUAAGACUGUUUAAGGUUGAAUAAAAUACUCCAGAUGGUAUGUAAAUAAUUCCUAAAAUAAUGACUCAAAUUAGAACUCAGGUUCUAAAAUGUUUAGGUUUGUACAUAACUGCUACAUUUUGAAUGAAGCCCCAGUAUGCUCCAGAGAAAUUGGGUGGAGAGAAGCACUCCCUAGCCCUAUGUAUGUCCUUUUUAUUUUCUCUUCAGUAACAAAACAAGAUUUCUCAAAAAGUGUGUGAUUCACUUAUACUGGAAACCACAUUUGAAACAACACUUGGAAAAUUCAGUAUCACAUGUAUGCAUUGUGGUAGGACGUGGCCUAAUUCAAAGUCAUGGUUUAUGAUCCAUUUGCUACCAGGAAAGCAAACUGUGCUGAGAUUUUUCUGUGUGGAAAGCCAUCUGUGUAACAUAGCAGCCAUGUGGUUGGCAUCCAUUUUAACUACGCCAGUGAAAUGAGGGUUUUUGCUGUUUGUAGUUAAACUGGGCCCAAUCAAUAUGGUGUGCCUUAUUGGUGUCAAUGGUAUUGCCAGUUUAAUGUAUGUGGGCCUGUUUUAUUCCUUGGAAGGUGGGAAAAUAAGAGAAGAUUGAAAGGGCUAUUCCUAAAUUAAUUUCUUUAGAGUCAGAUACUUCAUUUCAUUUCAUAAUCCACUAUUCACAUAAUUGGCCAUCCUGGACAGCUUAUUGAGCAUUCCUCUGUGGCUAAACAGUGCAGCACUCAGUUGAAAUCAAGCUUUAGGCCUUUUUCUCUAGGUGUGGGGACCCGCUUAAAUUACACUGUUUAGUUUAUGGAAUAAGUAGCCACAUGUAAACCCACUUUUACUAAAUAAAAUAAACAACAGUGCCACAAUCCAGCAAACAGUUAUUCAGUCUUAAAUAUUAAAGAGAUUUGGGCACUCUUAACUGUACGCUGGAUUUAAGUCAAGGGAGACAAUUCACCAGGAAACACUAUUACAAUUUGGAAAUCUCCCAUUCAUUUCAAUCAGGACUACACAAAAGAACUUUGUGAUGGAUUGUACCCUAUCUGUCUCAACAGAUGACUAAUGGUGCACAUGCACUUGCUGGACACACACACACACACACACACACACACACACACACUCUAAAUGUAAACAAAAGUAUUAGGACCAAUAUUUCCAAAAGAUAUGUAUCUAAAUUUGGUUUUCUGAAUCCAUAUUUAGUCACCUAAGGAAUCGGCUGACUUUAAAAUGAGCUAAUUUUUCAGUAGCACCUUUAAAGUGAUUAAAUAUAGAUUUUCUCUAUCCCUAUGUCAGCAAUCUCUUUAAGAACAGGGAUUGUUUUGUUUAUAUAUUAAAUUGUAUUUUAAAAACACAAGCUAAAACUAGCAGUUUAGAAACUUGUCUUCCCCCCCUCCCCCCCUCGUCCCAUUACACAAAAUCACUGAAGGUAUUUCAUGAUAUGACCGGCCUCUCUUUAAAAGUAAAUGUGGAAAACAGCAGCAUAAACACCUUGCAGUGUCCCUAUACCUUCCAAACCUCCCACAGUUAAAUUUGAAGUUCUGGUGCACAUGCAGCACAACAAUGAACACGCUAGCAUAUAAUUUAAAAGAAAAAGGUGCAAAAUGAAAGUGCCUUAUCAAUUCAACAAUAAAAGCUAUACCAGUAACUACAUUUUAUAUUAAUUAAAACAAUAUUAUAAACAAUAUCUCUUUUGCUAUAUAUAGACUUCGUGCCCAUUUACCCUGUAAUAGAUUAUAAUGCUAUUGUCACUAUUGCUAUGGACCCUUUUCAUGCCAUUCCGCCUACUGGC